rnacentral:rRNA from 1 species
UACGGAGGGUGCAAGCGUUAUCCGGAUUCACUGGGUUUAAAGGGUGCGUAGGUGGGCAAGUAAGUCAGUGGUGAAAUCUCCGGGCUUAACCCGGAAACUGCCAUUGAUACUAUUUGUCUUGAAUACUGCGGAGGUCAGCGGAAUAUGUCAUGUAGCGGUGAAAUGCUUAGAUAUGACAUAGAACACCAAUUGCGAAGGCAGCUGGCUACACAAAUAUUGACACUGAGGCACGAAAGCGUGGGGAUCAAACAGG